CUUCAUCUUCCUCGAGAGCUCCACAUCAAUUACCCUCACCUCACCAUCCUCUACUUCCACCAUCUUCCCUUGCCUCAGAUUCUUCUCCGCACCGGCCCUUCCAUGCCCGAGUUCCUCCGUGGCCGCCGGCCUUGCGUGUUAGUCCUUCGAUGCCGCUCCCGUCGUCCCCCGCCGCCGCCAUAGCUCCUCUCCUAGAUGGCGACGCUAGGCCCUGAUGUCUGGUUCGCCAGGUCGGCACAGCGCGGCUAACAACGCCGGCGGCUGCUCCGAAAUUCCGGAUCGGGGUUGCCUUUCCUUUGGGCCGCACCGCCGCCACCGACAACUACGACGCCGUCGGCAAGGAGAAAUCUAGCGGCAGGAGUGGGGAAGAGGCGCAUGGACGGAGGGGCUCCCAGUAGCGGCGGCCCUCGCGGGUGCGCCCUGACGUCUAUUCAUCGUGCAAUGACACGGGGAUACAGUGGGAGAAGCGAUGGGUAAAGGGGGCCAGGUGCUGACCCGCUGCCAGGGUCUCCUUCGUGGUCGUCGGCCGUGGCCUAGGCUGGGACCCCUCGGAGUGGUGGCCGUCACCGAGGCGCCCUACCUGCCCCCCGCUCUGCCUUUCCCACUGUAGCUCAGCAUUUGGAUGGCGGCCGCCGACCCUGCCGGACUGUCACCAGUGGGGAGUUGCUUCAUCUGCGGGAUUUGAGUCUGGACAUGGCGCCGCCGUGUCGUUGAGGGGCACGGUCUUCAUCCAAGCACUUGCUCCAGAACAACCAUAUCGGCCGCCUACGCGAGGAUGGAGUCCACGGCAGAUAUCAUGCUGCUGCCGCUCACUUUGUAGUACACCACCGCAUUCCAUCGCGCUCCCUGUCAUCUGCACGCGUGAGAGUGUCUAUUUCAUCUUCCCACACAGCCGUUCUUCCGACGGAUGCUACUACUGCAGGUACGUGCGUGCCGCGAUGAGCAGCACCGAGCGUAGGCCGCGUCCAGCACUCCAGCAGCUGUUUUGGUCUUCUACCAGUGUCGUUGGUCCGUGGAGAGUUGAUUGUUCUAUGGAAGAUUUACUCAAGGAGCACGUCUGGAUUGCAGGUUCGGUAGUAGUGUGUUUUCCAGGUUCGCUGUCACAUGUUCAAUCUUGCAAAGGGAAAGCCUGAAUUUUUUCCUACCUGUGAUUUACUGUUUUGUUUAAAGUUUCUGAAAUUUCUGAGACUGAAGAUCUAUUUUUCUUGCUGUUAUAAGUCCAGUCAUGUUUUAUAUUGUUCAGUACGUUUCAGCCCAAUAGAUCCAGAAGGAGAGCUGGUCAUGGGAUUCUGAAGGAAAAAGACUUGAAUACAGUGGAGAAAUUGCAAGGAAGAAAGAAAAAGUGUAGGCCCUCCCACAGAGUAAGCAGGAACGGAAAUCGGUGAAAAGGCAAAGAGGUGGAGUUGAGCUAGAAUGAUCACAUACCCUACACUUGCUGGAUGAUCACCAGAGAAAGAUGGUUCUCCGUAAAUUCCAUGCAGAUAGAAGGAUGAAGGCAACAGCUCAAUCUCCAAGCUUUCAUUUGGUCCCAAAAGACUGCUGUCAUGAUCAGAUCAACUCAUUUGCGCCUUCCAAAAGAUCACCAUUGGAAUCAGAUGGAGGAGGCCACAUUUGGAGAGAGAAUUGUUCAAGGGGAAAUGAAUCCUCGCUGGCGCUUAAGCAAUCUGCCCGCCAUACUCAUUUCAUGCUGCGUCAAUUGAAGCUGCUUCCAAUGAUAUUGCUAAGAGCGUGCAAGCCGUCAUAAUAACCAAGUUUGUAACAGUAUGUAAGCUGCUCAUAAUAGUUCUAAGAGCGUGCAAGCCAUCAUAAUAGUGCAUUUUAAGAUGAUUGGUAAUG